CACAACUCUGCUCACUGGCUGCAAAUUGCCUGAAGAUUUUGUGCGUGUGAAAUAAAUGCCUCGCUCUCGCCUCAAAUUUCCCUGACCCACGACUGCAUUGCCUCAGAAGGCGCACUUACAAGGGGAUCUUCAUUUACUUCCAUAAUUUCAGUGCAUUCUUCUCUGGCCAUAGACUAUCACAUAAGAAAUAAUAGUCAUAUUGAGGAAGGCAUGAAGACAAGAAACUCUAGAUCCUGACCCAGAAAGAUUCAAUAGGUAAAUAUCAGCCCCCACCUAGAUAAGCAGAACAGUCCAAAAGAACAUUUCUAAAAGGGAAUUCUCAGACUUGUGGUCACCAAGGAGGAGGGGAGGUUGGGAAGGAGUGAACUGAGAGUUUGGUGUUAGCAGAGGCAAACUACUAUUAGAAUGGAUAAACAAAAAGUCCCUACUGUACAGCACAGAGAAUUAUAUUCAAUACCCUGUGAUAAACCAUAAUGGAAAAGAAUAUGAAAAAGAAUGUAUAUAUGUGUGUGUGUGUGUGUAUAACUGAAUCACUUUUCUGUACAGAAGAAAUUAAUGCAACAAUGUAAAUAAACUAUACUUCAAUAAAAUAAAUUUUUUUAAAAAAGAAAGCAACUGUUCUACUUCUUAGGGAAAAUAAAUGAUGAAAAUAGGCAG
ensembl:lncRNA